rnacentral:lncRNA from 1 species
GUGUGUUGAGACAGGCAGGAGAGCUGCUGUUUCUGGUGUUUGAGGUUUCACAUGCUACUAUAAUUGUUGCUGCAAUUGAUUUAUUUGUUGUAAGAAAUCGGUCUGCAAGGUGUGAAGAAAAGGAGAAGCUUGAAUCUGUAAAUCAAGGAAAAUUUGGGUAUAGCAAGAAGGAAGAUCUGGAAUUACCAUUGUUUUUUAUUUGUCUGCUUAUUCGUCAGAAACCAAACACAAUUAGAUAUCGGGAACAGCAAGCUAUCAAAGUUUACAAGUAUUUUGAAUUCAGGAAAAUUUGGGUACAGCAAGAAGGAAACUGGGAAAAGAGAUGAAAUAGGCAAUUGUUUUGAGCAGGAGAUGAAUGACAACCAAAAAGAUGAAGUCAUUUGCGAGGGAAGCAAACACAUGAAGUGGUCUGCCAGUGAUAUGUUACAGGCUUCAUGUCACCAUUGAAGAUCCAAACAGUGAAGCCACAAUAAAACUUAGAGGAAAACAAGCUGAACAGUUAUUCGGAAUAACUUGCAAAGAACUCUUGAACAAGUGCCCCUAUGCACCACAAGAAACAUUGCCACCAGAGAUAUUACA